GACGAACGCUGGCGGCGUGCCUAAUACAUGCAAGUCGAACGCAUUUUCUUUCAGCGUAGCUUGCUACACCUAAAGACAGUGGGUUGCGUACGGGUGAGUAACCCGUUGUUAACCUGCCCAUCAGCGGCGGAUAACCCUUGCUAACACGUGCUAAUACCUCAUACUUCCAUUUACCACAUGGUAGAUGGAUCAUGGUCUCUUUUACGUCACUGUUGGCUCUACCCUCGGUGCAUUAGCUAGUUGGUGGGGUAACGGCCUACCAAGGCUACGAUACAUAGCCGACCGGGGAGGGUGAGCGGCCACACUGGGACUGAGACAAGGGCCAGACUUCGAAGGGGAGGAGCAGUAGGGAAUAUUCGGCAAAGGAGGAAAGUCUGACCGAGCAAAGCCGGGUAAGUGAAGAAGGGUUUCGGAUUGUAAAACUAUGGUGUUAGAGAAGAAAAAGGAUGAGAGUGGAAAGUGCACACCUUGACGGUAUCUAAUCAGAAAGCCACGGCUAACUACGUG
rnacentral:rRNA from 1 species